rnacentral:misc_RNA from 1 species
GAUGAAGAACGUAGCGAAAUGCGAUAAGUAGUGUGAAUUGCAGAAUUCAGUGAAUCAUCGAAUCUUUGAACGCACAUUGCGCCCUUUGGUAUUCCUUAGGGCAUGCCUGUUCAAGCGUCAUUUAAACCUUCAAGCUCAGCUUGGUGUUGGGUGACUGUCCGCUUCACCGCGGACUCGCCUCAAAAUUAUUGGCGGCCGGUACAUUGGCUCUCGAGCGCAGCAGAAACGCGUAACUCGAGGUCCUCGUGCUGGCUCCCAGAAGCUAUCUUCACAAUUUUGACCUCGGAUCAGGUAGGGAUACCCGCUGAACUUAAGCAUAUCAAUAAGCGGAGGA